UACGUAGGGUGCAAGCGUUGUCCGGAAUUAUUGGGCGUAAAGAGCUCGUAGGCGGUUUGUUGCGUCGGCUGUGAAAUCCCGAGGCUCAACCUCGGGUCUGCAGUCGAUACGAGCAAACUAGAGUGUUGCAGGGGAGACUGGAAUUCCUGGUGUAGCGGUGAAAUGCGCAGAUAUUAGGAGGAACACCGGUGGCGAAGGCGGGUCUCUGGGCAACAACUGACGCUGAGGAGCGAAAGCGUGGGGAGCGAACAGG
rnacentral:rRNA from 1 species